GAUGAACGCUGGCGGCGUGCCUAAUACAUGCAAGUCGAGCGAACAGACGAGGAGCUUGCUCCUCUGACGUUAGCGGCGGACGGGUGAGUAACACGUGGAUAACCUACCUAUAAGACUGGGAUAACUUCGGGAAACCGGAGCUAAUACCGGAUAAUAUAUUGAACCGCAUGGUUCAAUAGUGAAAGACGGUUUUGCUGUUACUUAUAGAUGGAUCCGCGCCGCAUUAGCUAGUUGGUAAGGUAACGGCUUACCAAGGCAACGAUGCGUAUCCGACCUGAGAGGGUGAUCGGCCACACUGGAACUGAGACACGGUCCAGACUCCUACGGGAGGCAGCAGUAGGGAAUCUUCCGCAAUGGGCGAAAGCUUGACGGAGCAACGCCGCGUGAGUGAUGAAGGUCUUCGGAUCGUAAAACUCUGUUAUUAGGGAAGAACAAAUGUGUAAGUAACUAUGCACGUCUUGACGGUACCUAAUCAGAAAGCCACGGCUAACUACGUG
rnacentral:rRNA from 1 species